rnacentral:rRNA from 1 species
CCCUUAGAUGUUCUGGGCCGCACGCGCGCUACACUGACAGGGCCAGCGAGUACAUCACCUUAACCGAGAGGUUUGGGUAAUCUUGUUAAACCCUGUCGUGCUGGGGAUAGAGCAUUGCAAUUAUUGCUCUUCAACGAGGAAUGCCUAGUAGGCACGAGUCAUCAGCUCGUGCCGAUUACGUCCCUGCCCUUUGUACACACCGCCCGUCGCUACUACCGAUUGAAUGGAUCAGUGAGGCCUUGGGAUUGGCUUAGGAGGGUUGGCAACGACCCCCCAGAGCCGAAAACUUGGUCAAACUCGGUCAUUUAGAGGAAGUAAAAGUCGUAACA